UCACCCCUCAAGCCCUGUGCUUGGUGUUGGACGGCUGGUCGAGCGAUCGACCCCUCCUAAAGACAAUGACGGCGGCCUGUGGUUCCCCCGGUACACUGAGCUUUUAACUGAGCACGUAUCGGACAAGGGCACCCGGGACCCGGUCCUCUCCUUUAACUAGGAAACUUCUAA
rnacentral:misc_RNA from 1 species